UGAUCAGCGGUCCGAUUGGAUGAUUUGCAGCGCUGUCCUGAAUUGAAAAGCUCUUGCGCUUGUUUGCUCGUAUUCGCCUCUCGUCCUGUAGCCCGAAUGCACCUAUCCGGCAUCGCGUGAGGGAGUCGGUGCACAUCUGGAGGAUUUUGUUUGUCGCCCUCGCGCCCGGUCUGGAUGUUGCGCGUGAGCUGAAGAAUUCUAGAGGUCGGAGACAAAAUGCGGCGGCGAGCGCACGCGUGUGUCCUGCUUCUGCCGUGGCUGGUGCUGCAAACCCAGGCAGGCUUUCCAAACCAGAUCAAUAUCGGUGGUCUCUUCAUGCGCUCCACGGUUCAGGAACACAGUGCGUUCCGCUUCGCCGUUCAGCUCUACAACACCAACCAGAACAUCACUGAGAAACCCUUUCACCUGAAUUAUAACGUGGACAAUCUGGAGUCAUCCAAUAGCUUCUCAGUCACGCACGCGUUCUGUUCACAGUUCUCCAGGGGUGUGUAUGCAAUAUUUGGAUUCUAUGACAGGAGGUCAAUGAACACAUUAACGUCGUUCUGCGGCGCUCUGCACACCUCCUUCAUCACUCCAUCUUUUCCCACGGACACAGAUGUGCAGUUUGUUCUGCAGAUGAGGCCGAGCCUCCGGGGGGCGCUGCUCAGCUUGCUAGCCCAUUACAAAUGGGAGAAAUUUGUCUACCUGUAUGACACCGAUAGAGGGUUUUCCAUCCUACAGGCCAUCAUGGAAUCCGCAGUGAUGAAUAAUUGGCAGGUGACGGCACGUUCGGUGGGGAACAUAGUGGAUCCGCUGGAAUACCGACGUAUUAUUGAAGAAAUGGAUCGUCGCCAGGAGAAACGCUUCCUUAUCGACUGUGAGGUUGAACGCAUUAACAGUAUUCUAGAGCAGGCUGCGAUCUCUGGAAAGAAUAGUCGUGGAUAUCAUUACAUCCUGGCUAAUCUUGGGUUCUCUAACAUGAGUUUGGAUAAGGUGUUUUCAGGCGGGGCAAAUAUUACCGGAUUCCAAAUCAUAAGUCCUGAUAGCCCGAUCGUGCAGCAGUUUCUCCAGCGCUGGGAGCGGCUCGACGAGAGAGAGUUCCCUGAGUCUAGAAACGCUCCCCUGAAGUAUACAUCUGCGCUGACACACGAUGCCAUCCUGGUGUUAGCUGAGGCAUUUCGGUAUUUGAGACGUCAACGCGUUGAUAUUUCACGUCGAGGGAGUGCAGGCGACUGCCUUGCCAACCCGGCCGUACCAUGGAGCCAGGGAAUCGACAUUGAAAGAGCUCUCAAAAUGGUUCAGGUUCAGGGUAUGACGGGAAAUAUUCAGUUCGACUCAUUUGGACGGCGAUCAAAUUACACCAUUGAUGUUUAUGAAAUGAAACCAGGAGGAGCCAGAAAGAUUGGCUACUGGAAUGAAUAUGAGAAAUUUGUUUAUAUAGUGGAGCAGCAGGUUACCAACGAGUCCUCCUCUGUGGAAAACAGAACCAUUGUGGUCACUACUAUUAUGGAAGCUCCAUAUGUAAUGUACAAGAGGAAUUAUAUGCAGUUGGAUGGAAAUGAUCGCUAUGAGGGCUACUGUGUAGACUUGGCAUCAGAAAUCGCAAAGCACGUGGGCAUAAAGUACAAACUGUCCAUUGUAGCUGAUGGGAAAUAUGGAGCACGCGACCCUGAGACCAAGACCUGGAACGGCAUGGUGGGGGAGUUGGUAUAUGGGAGGGCAGAUAUAGCUGUGGCUCCACUCACUAUAACCCUUGUCCGGGAGGAAGUGAUAGAUUUCUCCAAGCCCUUCAUGAGUCUGGGCAUUUCCAUCAUGAUCAAGAAACCACAGAAGUCCAAACCAGGAGUCUUCUCAUUUCUGGAUCCACUGGCCUAUGAGAUCUGGAUGUGUAUCGUUUUUGCAUAUAUCGGUGUGAGCGUGGUUCUCUUCCUGGUGAGUCGUUUCAGUCCAUACGAAUGGCACCUGGACGAGAACGAAGAGGCGAAGGAUCCGCAAACGCCACCUGACCCACCCAACGACUUUGGCAUCUUUAACAGUCUCUGGUUCUCCCUUGGAGCUUUCAUGCAGCAAGGAUGCGAUAUCUCGCCAAGGUCUCUGUCUGGCCGAAUUGUUGGAGGUGUGUGGUGGUUCUUCACUCUGAUCAUCAUUUCAUCCUACACAGCCAAUUUGGCUGCUUUCCUGACUGUGGAAAGGAUGGUCUCGCCUAUAGAGAGCGCAGAAGACCUGGCCAAGCAGACUGAGAUCGCCUACGGAACGCUCGACUCCGGUUCCACCAAAGAGUUCUUCCGGCGUUCAAAGAUCGCUGUCUAUGAGAAGAUGUGGUCUUACAUGAAGUCCGCCGAGCCGUCCGUGUUCGUUAAGACCACCCCUGACGGAGUGGCUCGCGUGCGCAAGUCAAAGGGGAAGUUUGCGUUCCUGCUCGAGUCCACGAUGAACGAAUACAUCGAACAGAGAAAGCCUUGCGACACUAUGAAGGUGGGAGGGAACCUGGACUCCAAGGGCUACGGCGUGGCCACGCCCAAAGGGUCGGCAUUAAGAAGCGCUGUAAACCUGGCGGUGUUAAAGCUGAAUGAGCAGGGCCUGCUGGACAAGCUGAAAAAUAAAUGGUGGUACGACAAGGGAGAGUGCGGCAGCGGGGGAGGGGACUCGAAGGUCAGCCUCAAUCUCACCCAAACAACCCUUUCCUAGCUACGAGUAAUCGGCAAGGCUGUGACCUAUGAUCCCCAGCAACAGUACCGUGACCCUUAGGGGUGGACACGAGCAAACUGAGCCUAAUGACCCGAGGACAUUAGCACCACUGCGAUGGCCGUAGUUACUGUCAGCGCUGCUAAUGGACUGUUUUCCUGAGCUUAUGUAAUAAGGCAAACUGUGAUCAGAUGUGACCCUUUACUUGGCUAAUGGAGGAAAGGAAGCAGAGGAGGAGAGGAAUAAAGGCUCGGGUGGGAGGAUGUGUGGAGCGAGGUCAGGGUCACCGAGAGCGCAGCUUAUUAGGAUGGUUAGGUUCUUGUGAAUUUGCCACGCGGGUUUGUUUGUGUGGUAAAACAAACAGCUUGUUCUAGGUAGAAGAGGCUAGGCCGUCUCUGGAUCUCCUCUGAUCUGUAAUAUAAGAUCAUCACAAAAUGUAGUGUUGUUUGUGUAUACCAGGGCUCCAGGAUUUAAUGACUGUCAACAGAAAGAAAAAAGAGAGAUGUUUGGAGAUCAGAAUAGACAGUGUAAACAAGACCAAAACUGCUUUGGAAAAUAGAUGUCUGUAUUUUCUAAAGCACAGAGGAUUGGAUGUUUAUUAUUAUGCUUAAAGGACAGUUCACCCAAAAAUGAAAAUUAUCUCAUCAUUUACAGUACUCUAGUGUGUGACAAACCUGUGAAUUUCUUUCUUCUGUGGAACAUAAAAAAUAUCAAUGGUUUGGUUACCAACAUUCUUCUAAAUGUCUUCUGCAGAAGAAAGAAAGACAUUUUUUGGUGUAAAUGCAUUCAAGUAACUUUCAGUGAAGACUAGCAAUAAUGAGUUUGUUCUUGAUUACACAUUUGCUUUUAGCUAGUAAAGGGUUUUUUCAGUUUAUGUUGUCCCUUAUCUAUGCAAAGUCUUCACAAAUGACAAGUAUUUAUGCUAAUAUUGUCCAAAUCACUAUGCCUAUGGUGUUUCCAAACAUCUGGAGGGCACAAUAUGUUGAGUAUAUAUGUUGAGUUAUUUGUUAGUGUGUCAAGUUGCUGCUAGUGGCAAAAGAGAAGUGCAAAGACUUUGGCAUCUCCAAUCAAAUAGUCAGAUGACAGAUUUUUUUUAAAAGACACCAUCUUUGGUCUUUGGCCAACUCCCUGCUACAAGUAUGUAAAUCCUUUUGGAGCCGCCAGCUCUCUCAGAUUAUUCCCCAAAUUGGCGUGUAACCCAUGAAAAAGCCGUAGCUCCCUUGUUGGUGGGAUUAAAGAAAAAUAUAAGACCACUGGGAUAGACAGUCCUGAAGGGGCUAAAACAUCACAGGAAAACGUGAGAAUUCUAAUUAAACACUUCUAGAAAUCAAAGGUGGAGAAAGAUCUGGAGCCGUAAAUGCACAUGUUCAUCUGCAUAUGAAUGCACAGAAAACCACAAACAAGCACAAAUUCAUUACACUCACACACACACACACACACACACACUUCUCAAUGAAUUUAUGGCCACUUUUCUCUAGCCCCUGUGCCUGCAGAAUGGUCACCCUGUGUUCAUCCUAUCAUGAGGGCAAGGCGGCCCCACUCACUCCUGAUCGGUCUACAAAAGCGAGUUCACUGCAGUAAUUGGCUCUCUCUCAUGAGUGGCGCCUGAGCUCUAAACUCUGAGACCAAGAUGGCCGCCUAGUCCAUGCAUUGAUAAGUUGAGCAUGCUGGGUGGAGGGUGUCUAGUCUGUUAUGACAUCACAACUGCAUGUUUCUCAUUUAUUGACCUGAGUCUGAUCCAAAAUGCAUGAAUGGAGUAAUUCAGCAAACCCAGCAAGUAUAUUAUACCAUUAGCACACAUAGCACAAUUAAAAACAGCCGAUACACUGCAAAUAUACAGAAAACCCCAAUUUCACCACAAUACAGUAAGAUAUAUUCGUAAAUGUAGGAAUCAGGACCCCAUUUUUCACACAUAGAUUACUGAAAAAUCCAAUUGUUUUUAGCUGUUGGCGAUUUGACUCACUUCUGAGCUCUUUGAAGCUCAUCAUAAAGUUCAUGUGCGCUCAGUCCUUUGUGAAACAGGAUUCAACCAUGGCCGCUUCAUUCUGAUGAGAGGACCCUGUUGAAAGGGGAGCAAUAUUUAGUCAUUUAAUAGUGAUUUAAAAUUUGGAAACCACAUUUGUAUAGUGCUUUUGCAUGAAUAAAAGUGUGGAUUUUCACUUAUAAUAUAAGUAAGCACAGUAAAUACAAGUUGAAUUGUACUCAAGCAUUAGGUCCAUCUCUGCAUAAACAGAUCUCAUUCUUUCAAGGUAUUAUUCGUCGGGUGUCAAACCAUUCGAGGUCUGAAGCUGGCUUGUGUUACGGUGGUAAGUAUGGUAUAUUUGCUUUGCUGGAUUACAACUCUCAUCAUUUAGCAGAAGGAAAAUAAACUGAGUUUCCCAGCAGUCCUGCUGAUGACAUACUAACAUCUUACAAACUGAAAUGCCCAAAAGGAAUAGUAACAUCAUUGAGCAGUACUGUUUCCAUUAUUUUUUUGUCUGUUUAUUUACGAAUAAAAUUUGUUAUAGGAUGCAUUAUGCAAAUAUCUACAAAUGCUCCCUAAUAUUAAUAUUCACGUGCUGACUUUUAUAAGGGCUUGAUGUUUUCAUUUGUAAGAUGUUUGGCUUCAGCCCUCACCCACCACAGACCGGUUCCCCUUCUGACUGCUGGGUCCUGUUUGUCUGUUAGUCAAGUAAGGGUUUUUUCUCCCGAUGGAUCCGGCUUGCUGAAUACUGGGUUAGAAAAGCUGCAUUCACACCACAAUUACAAUAACGAAACUCAUCUGCCAAAUGCUCUUUGUAAUUAUGCUCUGUUUGGCUGUGUUACCAUGGUUACUCUCUCUGCCUCUGUUGGAACAGUGAGUGCCGAUUACUCAAAGCGAUAACAGUAGGUAGCACUGCCAGGUCAAAGGUCGAAGGUAACACUGAGGCUAGCCCUGCCUGCAUUCCCUCUCUCUCUCUCCAUCUCUCCCUCUCUUAUUCUUUCGCUGUCUGCGAUAUCAACAGCACAAGGCCAGGUGUCCUACAGUAUCGCUUUGGUUAACAAAUAUUCGGUAGGUUUAAGUUUUAAUAACAUAAAAUAACAUAAUGGUGCCAUGUUAUUUAUGUUAUUUCCCCUCGUGAAGAACUCCUGUAAACCUUGCAGUGUUGAAACUCAGUGAACAAGGCAUCUUAGACAAGCUGAAAAACAAGUGGUGGUACGAUAAGGGUGAAUGUGGGACCAAAGACUCUGGGAGUAAGGAUAAAACCAGCGCGCUGAGUCUCAGUAACGUG